UACGUAGGGGCGAGCGUUGUCCGGAAUUAUUGGGCGUAAAGGGUGCGUAGGCGGCUGUACAAGUCAGAUGUGAAAAGCUACGGCUUAACCGUGGACCUGCAUAUGAAACUGUACAGCUUGAGUGCGGGAGAGGCAAGCGGAAUUCCUAGUGUAGCGGUGAAAUGCAUAGAUAUUAGGAGGAACACCAGUCGCGAAGGCGGCUUGCUGGACCGCAACUGACGCUGAGGCACGAAAGCGUGGGGAGCAAACAGGAUUAGA
rnacentral:rRNA from 1 species